GCCAAUUUGCAUAAAAAAUCCACUAGUUUUGGGCUUUUGCAAAACCGGGCCACAAUUUUCGUUUUUGCAGAUUCGGUCCGCUUUUUCAAAAAGAUGACCAAACUACCCCUCUUUCAAAAUUCAUAAGAAGUACAUGCAUUAAUUAUCUUGAAAAAUGCAGCUGAUAAGUCAUUAUUACAGUUACCUUUUUCUUGGAAAAUGAAAUUCUUAUUAACAUACAAAUAAAAAACUUCAAAUAAUAAAAGUAAAAAAGAAAGAAUGGAAUACACCUUAAAUAGUGCAACAUCGUUUCAAAUUGUGCAAUAUUUCUUCCAAAUAGUGUAAUAUUUGUAUAAACAGUGCAAUGUUUGCACAAUUUAUAUAAUGUUGCACAAUUUUUUAUACUAAAUUACGAAUAAUAUAGUAUACUACGGGCAAAUAAUAUAACGUAUUACAAUAUACUAUAAAAAUCAUGUAUUAUAUGUAUAAACGGUGAAUAUUUUACACUAUUUGUACAAAUAUUUACACUAUUUGCAUAGAUGUUACACUAUUAUGAGAUAAUGUUGCACCAUUUAGAUGUUAUGUUGCACUCUUUCUUUUUAAAAAUUAAAGUGCAUUGUAUAUUAAAUAAAGUGUUAAAUUUCUUGGAAAUGACAACUGCUAAGUCAUAAUUACAUGUACCUUUCUCGAGAGACGAGAUCCUCAUUUAAUUAAGAUAAAAUAAAAAAUAAAUUAUCAUUAAUAUAAUGAAAGAUUGCAACAUUAUAAUGAAAUAGUGCAAUAUUCUCUCUAAUGUUACACCAUUUAAAAGGAUGUUGCACUAUUUGAGAGAAUGUUGCACUUUUUCAUCUUAUUAACAAUACUUUACUUUUUGUAUUUUGUCUUAAAUGAGUAUUCUUGUCUCUCGAGAAAGGUACAUGCAAUUAUGACUUAGCAGUUGUCAUUUCCAAGAAAUUGCACUCUUUAUUUAAUAGAUAAAUACUUUAAUUUUUAAAAAGAAAGAGUGCAACAUACCAUCUAAAUGGUACAACAUUUUCUUAUAAUAGUGCAAUAAAUAUACAAAUGGUGUAAAUAUUUAUACAAAUAGUGCAAAAUAUGCACCGUUUAUAAUAUAAUGUAUGAUUUUUAUAGUAUUUUGUGAUAUGUUAUAUUAUUUUCGUAUUAUUUUCACGUAAUAUAUUGUAUUAUUCAUAAUUUUGUAUAAAAAAUCAUUCAAUAUGUGUAUUAACGAUGCAUAUAUUGCACUAUUUAUAUAAAUAUUGCACUAUUUGGAAGAGAAUGUUGUACUAUUUGAGACUAUGUUACACUCUUUAAGAGGAUGUUGCACUCUUUCAUUGUAUUAAUGAUAUUUUAUUUUUUAUUUUAUCUUAAUUAAAUGAGGAUUCUCGUUUCUCGAGAAAGGUACAUGUAAUUAUGACCUAUCAGUUGUUAUUUUCAAGAAAUUUAACACUUUAUUUAAUAUACAAUAUACUUUAAUUUUUAAAAAGAAAGAGUGCAACAUAACAUCUAAAUGGUGCAACAUUAUCUCAUAAUAGUGCAACAUCUAUGCAAAUGGUGUAAAUUUUUGUACAAAUAGUGCAAAAUAUUCACCGUUUAUACAUAUAAUGCAUGAUUUUUAUAGUAUAUUUUAAUAUGUUAUAUUAUUUUCGUAUUAUUUUCACGUAAUAUAUUAUAUUAUUCGUAAUUUUGUAUAAAAAUUAUGCAAUAUGUGUAUUAACGAUGCAUAUAUUGCACUAUUUACAUAAAUAUUGCACUAUUUGAAAGAGAAUGUUGCACUAUUUGAGACUAUGUUACACUCUUUAAGAGGAUGUUGCACUCUUUCAUUGUAUUAAUGAUAUUUUAUUUUUUAUUUUAUCUUAAUUAAAUAAGGAUCUCGUCUCUCGAGAAAGGUACAUGUAAUUAUGACUUAGCAGUUGUCAUUUCCAAAAAAUUUAACACUUUAUCUAAUAUACAAUGCACUUUAAUAUUUAAAAAGAAAGAGUGCAACAUAACAUCUAAAUGGUGCAACAUUAUCUCAUAAUAGUGUAACAUUUAUGCAAAUAGUGUAAAUAUUUGUACAAAUAGUGUAAAAUAUUCACCGUUUAUACAUAUAAUACAUGAUUUUUAUAGUAUAUUGUAAUACGUUAUAUUAUUUGCCCGUAGUAUACUAUAUUAUUCGUAAUUUAGUAUAAAAAAUUGUGCAACAUUAUAUAAAUUGUGCAAAUAUUGCACUGUUUAUACAAAUAUUACACUAUUUGGAAGAAAUAUUGCACAAUUUGAAACGAUGUUGCACUAUUUAAGGUGUAUUCUAUUCUUUCUUUUUUACUUUUAUUAUUUGAAGUUUUUUAUUUGUAUGUUAAUGAGAAUUUUAUUUUCCAAGAAAAAGGUAAUUGUAAUAAUGACUUGUCAGCUGCAUUUUUCAAGAUAAUUAAUGCAUGUAUUUCUUAUGAAUUUUGAAAGAGGGAUAGUUUGGUCAUCUUUUUGAAAAAGUGGAUCGAAUCUGCAAAAACGAAAAAGGUGGCCAUGUUUUGCAAAAGCUCAAAACUAGUGGAUUUUUUAUGCAAAUUGGCCAAUUUUAUUUAUAGAAAGCCAUGCCUGGGUGUACAUUCUAGACUUUCCACUUUUAGGGUUCUAAAAAACCUCUCAUUGGAUUUUUAGUAAAGAAAAAAAAGGGAAAAACUUUAAAUACCACCCCUAUGGUUUCAUACUUUUUCAUUUUUAAUACCCUGUGGUUUAAAGUGUAUCAAUUUAGUGGCAUGUAGUUUCAUUUUUAUUUUUUUAUAAUCGAUUUCACUAAUUUUUUCGUUAAAUCAAUGAUAAAGCUAAAACUAAAGGAUACUAAAAUGAAUAUUCGAUAAAUCUAAGUGAAGUGUCUAAAGUUUUUUAUAUAUAAUUUAAUGAAAUAUUAACGAAAAAGUUGACGAAAAGAUAAAAUGAAACCACAGGACACUAGUUUGAUGCACUGUAAACCAUAUGAUACUAAAGCGAGAAAAUGCGAAAUCACAGGAGUAGUAUUUGAAGUUUACACAAAAAAAAUUGCUAAGAGUUUAGAAU
rnacentral:lncRNA from 1 species